rnacentral:ncRNA from 1 species
CUUCAGGGCGGGGUGAAAUUCCCCACCGGCUGUAAACGAUUUUUCGUAAGCCAGCGAGUAGAAUUCGUUUGAAUUCUUCAUGAUACGGUGAAAGUCCGUAGCCGACGGUAGAGUCCGGAUGAAAGAAGU